UAAGCGUUCACGUUAGGGUCACACAAUCAAUUACCUCCUGAAUGUAUUGUCUCUAUUUUCAAUAUCUGAACACACAAGGAAACUAUAAUCUCCUCCGUCACCUUAUCGGUCUCUUCCUUAUAGCAAUUUAGUCAUAUCAAUAACUGCUAUUUCCACCAAUAUAUUCACCCUCAUAAUCUCCAAUUGUAAUACUGUGCUCUCACAGCUUUUAGCACACAAUUAUCCUCGUUCCAAUCAUUGGAAUUCUUCACAUAGAACUGCCAUUCAUAUUACAGUGUUUCACACAAAUACAAAUCUAUUCUCUCUGCUAAACUACAAUCAGAUUUCAACAUUCAAUCUUUCUUCUUCUCAAAUAAUACCAAUCACAUUUCCAUUCCAUAAUUCAUUUCACAAUAUUCAAAAACUUUCAAUCCUCUUAUUCAAAGAAAAUAACAAAUAAAAGAAAAGAGGUAGCACCAAGCUUACCCCAGCUCACAACUAUCAUAGUCUGUGCCUCAGCUUACGACUCUCAUAGUCUGGCAUUUUCUUCCCCUCUCCCAUCCUCCUUAUACUAUCUCGAGAUACCAACUCCUAUACUAUAGAUGAUAACUACUUUUCCUGACUAUUCAUCCAUUCUACCUACUGAACCACCUUUUCAACAGUUAUCUAUCGCUGUUAUAACUAUACACUACGUAUCUACAUUCUGAAAAUAAUUACUUAUUCUACAAUUAGUCUUCAAAGACUCAUCUGACUAUGUAAGACUUAUCCUAUCCUCUUUAAAAUAUAUAAUACCAUCCUUAAUUGUAGCCUUAUGGUUGUCACAUUCACCACGCUUAUGAUUUGGAUUAUCACACUACAUACAUCUUUCUACAAACUUCUUUGACCCUUCAAUUGUCUUUGAUGAGUUUGCUAUUUGGAAUUUCUUCAAUCCAAUCAUUUC
rnacentral:lncRNA from 1 species